CAGCUGCACUCAAACUAUGUUCUUCACGGGCCGUGGAUUAUCAAUCUCAGAGCUCGCUGAACAACUUCGUGCUUUGGUAUCUCCAGGAACAGCCUGGAAGAUGUGCCCCCUCAGGGUGAAGCCCUGUGGAUGACCCGAAUCCUCAGCGAUGUCGCCGGCAGAAGCGUCACAGGUGAUUGACACACGAAGACAGCAGCUGCAACCUUUGGAGUCCUUUGUGCAGAACUGAUCUCUUUCUCCAUGGUUUCCAGAUUCUCCACAUUGACUGUACUACGAAUACCUUUAUGGACUGGCUAAAAUGUAGCAGGCUAUUAUAAUGAAAUUCGUUACAUUGUGCAAUUCAAGGUCAUUCGGAAUACAGUAUAAGAUAAAGAAUAGACAUACGUGAGUUUGUUCUAAGGAACUAACAAGCCUAAAGCUUCGCAUUUCUUAUUAAAAUAUUUGAAAAUUGAUGAGAAAGAAUAACAAGGGGUUCAAUAAACAAUUCGUUCGGAAACAGAAGAUCAACCGCUGGAAGAUCUUAGCGAGUCAAACAGCAUCUGUGAAGUCAAAACGCUGGUCAAUGUUUCGGGUCGAAACUCCGCAUUGUGUCAUCUUCUCGUUGAUUCUGGCACCGCCGGCCUCCCGAUCUCCAGUUCACUCGACAAGGCCGAUCCAACUCCUUCCUUGAGAACUAACCAGAAAAUUGUACAGUUCGUCCCGCCGAGUUCCUCCAGCAGAUUGUUUGUUGCUCCAGGUUCCAGCACCCACAACGUCCACGU